GCAUAACGCGAAGAACCUUACCAAGGCUUGACAUACACCAGAACACCCUGGAAACAGGGGACUCCUUGGACACUGGUGAACAGGUGGUGCAUGGUUGUCGUCAGCUCGUGUCGUGAGAUGUUGGGUUAAGUCCCGCAACGAGCGCAACCCUCGUUCUAUGUUGCCAGCACGUUAUGGUGGGAACUCAUGGGAUACUGCCGGGGUCAACUCGGAGGAAGGUGGGGGAUGACGUCAAAUCAUCAUGCCCCUUAUGUCUUGGGCUUCACGCAUGCUACAAUGGCCGGUACAAUGGGCUGCGAUACCGUAAGGUGGAGCGAAUCCCAAAAAGCCGGUCCCAGUUCGGAUUGAGGUCUGCAACUCGACCUCAUGAAGUCGGAGUCGCUAGUAAUCGCAGAUCAGCAACGCUGCGGUGAAUACGUUCCCGGGUC
rnacentral:rRNA from 1 species